rnacentral:rRNA from 1 species
GGCCAGACUCCUACGGGAGGCAGCAGUGGGGAAUAUUGCACAAUGGGGGAAACCCUGAUGCAGCGACGCCGCGUGAGUGAGGAAGUAUUUCGGUAUGUAAAGCUCUAUCAGCAGGGAAGAAAAUGACGGUACCUGACUAAGAAGCCCCGGCUAACUACGUGCCAGCAGCCGCGGUAAUACGUAGGGGGCAAGCGUUAUCCGGAUUUACUGGGUGUAAAGGGAGCGUAGACGGAAUUGCAAGUCUGAUGUGAAAAUCCGGGGCCCAACCCCGGAACUGCAUUGGAAACUGUAUUUCUAGAGUGUCGGAGAGGCAAGUGGAAUUCCUGGUGUAGCGGUGAAAUGCGUAGAUAUCAGGAGGAACACCGGCGGCGAAGGCGGCCUGCUGGACCGCGACUGACGUUGAGGCUCGAAAGCGUGGGGAGCGAACAGGAUUAGAUACCCGUGUA